AUAUUUGUGUCUCAUGUAAAUGCUCACCAAAGGAUGACCUCAGCAGAGGAAGAUUUUAAUGAUCAAGUGGACAGGAUGACCCAUUCUUUUGACGUCUUUCC